AGGGAAUCUUCCGCAAUGGACGCAAGUCUGACGGAGCAACGCCGCGUGAGUGAUGAAGGUUUUCGGAUCGUAAAACUCUGUUGUUAGGGAAGAACAAGUACCGUUCGAAUAGGUCGGUACCUUGACGGUACCUAACCAGAAAGCCACGGCUAACUACGUGCCAGCAGCCGCGGUAAUACGUAGGUGGCAAGCGUUAUCCGGAAUUAUUGGGCGUAAAGCGCGCGCAGGCGGUUUCUUAAGUCUGAUGUGAAAGCCCACGGCUCAACCGUGGAGGGUCAUUGGAAACUGGGGAACUUGAGUGCAGAAGAGGAGAGUGGAAUUCCAUGUGUAGCGGUGAAAUGCGUAGAGAUAUGGAGGAACACCAGUGGCGAAGGCGACUCUCUGGUCUGCAACUGACGCUGAGGCGCGAAAGCGUGGGGAGCAAAC
rnacentral:rRNA from 1 species